rnacentral:lncRNA from 1 species
AUCCGUGCCCCGCCCCCCAAGGUGGCCGUGAGGGAGGGGGGAGCCGCUGCGGAGCGCUUUUGUGAGAGAGAAAUGGGACCGGGGCCGCUUCCCCUGAAAUGUUCAAGUGUCUUUAGCAGGCACGAAGCACGUUAACUCCGCAAGACACCGCUGAAGUCUGUGCCCUAAGCCAGGGACCUCUCUGCCCUGAGAAAGCCCCCCGAAACUCCUUCGGUCAGGAGUCAGAUUUACAUAAUUUAUGACUGUUACGGAGAGCGAAUAUAGGAGAAUGUCUAAGUUUUGUAGUGUGUAUUGGCAUUUAUUUACUGGAAAUCCCUCCAGGCAAAGCAAGCUGCUGUGGAGUGUCAAAGCCCAGGGCCCUCAGUGCCCUGACAUCGCCACACUGCUGCCGUCACUGCCAGCAAGGAAUGGUUUGGUGGCUACGAAGAAGGAGCAGCCCUUCCCUGGGAGGACAGCACCUGUCGUUCCUGCCGGUGCGGCAGCAGCAGGAGCCUCUCCUCCCUCCUUUCUCUCCCCUCUCUUAGUUACUAUCCUGUCCCUCUUCCACAUCUCUAGGGCAACAAUUUUGCAUGUGCUCCUGAGGUGCUCUGAUCCAGACUUACUCUUCAUGAAUAUGAAUUACAUUUCUGAAUAUGGAAAGUAUGUAAAUUCGACAGUAUUUUGA